UGUUGGGUAGGGGAGCGUUGUGUAAGCGGAAGAAGGUGAUUUGAGAGGAUUGCUGGACGUAUCACAAGUGCGAAUGCUGACAUAAGUAACGAUAAAACGGGUGAAAAACCCGUUCGCCGGAAGACCAAGGGUUCCUGUCCAACGUUAAUCGGGGCAGGGUGAGUCGGCCCCUAAGGCGAGGCUGAAAAGCGUAGUCGAUGGGAAACGGGUUAAUAUUCCCGUACUUGGAUAAACUGCGAUGUGGGGACGGAGUAGGUUAGGUUAGCGUACUGUUGGAGAUGUACGUUUAAGUUGGUAGGUGGGUGGACUAGGCAAAUCCGGUUCACUGUAAACACUGAGAGAUGAUGACGAGGCACUAAGGUGCUGAAGUAAUUGAUACCACACUUCCAGGAAAAGCCACUAAGCUUCAGGUUUAUCUAAACCGUACUGAAAACCGACACAGGUGGUCAGGUAGAGAAUACUCAGGCGCUUGAGAGAACUCGGGUGAAGGAACUAGGCAAAAUAGCACCGUAACUUCGGGAGAAGGUGCGCUGGCGUAGUGUGAAGUUCUAUACGGAUGGAGCAUGAACCAGUCGAAGAUACCAGCUGGCUGCAACUGUUUAUUAAAAACACAGCACUCUGCAAACACGAAAGUGGACGUAUAGGGUGUGAUGCCUGCCCGGUGCUGGAAGGUUAAUUGAUGGUGUAAUCGAAAGAGAAGCUCCUGAUCGAAGCCCCAGUAAACGGCGGCCGUAACUAUAACGGUCCUAAGGUAGCGAAAUUCCUUGUCGGGUAAGUUCCGACCUGCACGAAUGGCAUAAUGAUGGCCAGGCUGUCUCCACCCGAGACUCAGUGAAAUUGAAAUCGCCGUGAAGAUGCGGUGUACCCGCGGCUAGACGGAAAGACCCCGUGAACCUUUACUAUAGCUUGACACUGAACCUUGAAUUUUGAUGUGUAGGAUAGGUGGGAGACUAUGAAGCGGUAACGCCAGUUAUCGUGGAGUCGUUGUUGAAAUACCACCCUUUAACGUUUGAUGUUCUAACGAAGCGCCUGAAACGGGUGUUCGGACAGUGUCUGGUGGGUAGUUUGACUGGGGCGGUCUCCUCCCAAAGUGUAACGGAGGAGCACGAAGGUUUGCUAAUGACGGUCGGACAUCGUCAGGUUAGUGCAAUGGUAUAAGCAAGCUUAACUGCGAGACAGACAAGUCGAGCAGGUGCGAAAGCAGGUCAUAGUGAUCCGGUGGUUCUGAAUGGAAGGGCCAUCGCUCAACGGAUAAAAGGUACUCCGGGGAUAACAGGCUGAUACCGCCCAAGAGUUCAUAUCGACGGCGGUGUUUGGCACCUCGAUGUCGGCUCAUCACAUCCUGGGGCUGAAGUAGGUCCCAAGGGUAUGGCUGUUCGCCAUUUAAAGUGGUACGCGAGCUGGGUUUAGAACGUCGUGAGACAGUUCGGUCCCUAUCUGCCGUGGGCGUUGGAGAAUUGAGAGGGGCUGCUCCUAGUACGAGAGGACCGGAGUGGACGCAUCACUGGUGUACCAGUUGUCUCGCCAGAGGCACUGCUGGGUAGCUAAAUGCGGAAGAGAUAAGUGCUGAAAGCAUCUAAGCACGAAACUUGCCUUAAGAUGAGUUCUCCCAGUCUAUAAGACUGUAAGGGUUGUUGGAGACGACGACGUAGAUAGGCUGGGUGUGUAAGCGGUGUGAGCCGUUGAGCUAACCAGUACUAAUUGCCCGAG
rnacentral:rRNA from 1 species